GUUACAGCAGCCGCGGUAAUACGGAGGAUCCAAGCGUUAUCCGGAAUCAUUGGGUUUAAAGGGUCCGUAGGCGGUUUUAUAAGUCAGUGGUGAAAUUUGGUCGCUCAACGAUCAAACGGCCAUUGAUACUGUAGAACUUGAAUUACUUGGAAGUAACUAGAAUAUGUAGUGUAGCGGUGAAAUGCUUAGAGAUUACAUGGAAUACCAAUUGCGAAGGCAGGUUACUACGAGUACAUUGACGCUGAUGGACGAAAGCGUGGGGAGCGAACAGGAUUAGAUACCUCAGUAGUCC
rnacentral:rRNA from 1 species